rnacentral:lncRNA from 10 species
GCAGCCUGUACUGAGUCAGAGUAUCUGAGAGAGGUUUCACUCUUCUUGCCCAGGCUGGAGUGCAGUGGAGGAUCAUGGGCUCAUGGCUCAUUGCAGCCUAACCUUCUCAAGUAGCUGGGACUACAGAUGGAAUUUGGAGAUAGACACCUAUAUGGGGAGAAUGCCCUGUGAACAUGAAAUCAGCCAUCUACAAGCCAAGGAGGGAAGCUUGGGACAGAGCUGCCAACACUUUGACUUUGAACUUCUAGCCUCUGGAACUGGGCUCCAGAAGCUUGGAUGUGCUCUAUCACCCUCUGAGAGCUGAUGGCAUGUGAAUCUCAUCCCAAAUCUGAGUGCAGAGUGCUUUUUGUUUGGCAUAGAGCAUUUCAUGAGACUGUUGUUCUGUGGUUCUGACUCAGAGAAACAUCGAGUUUAUUUCCCCUAAGGAAGCAGCCAUGCCGUGGGUCUCACAGCUGCAGAAAGUUCAGCUUCAUGGGACUGAGCUACUUUCAGGAAAUAAGGAUGCAGGUGAAAAUUUUUGAUUACAUUUAGUUCAAAUCCAUUACACCUCCUGGGGGCAGAGCAGAACAGCUCCAAGGAAAUAACCUACUGGAAAUGAUCAGGAGUCAUUUUUCUUGAUCCAUGAAUCCUUUGAUUCCUGUUAUUUCACAUCUGUGACUCAGAAGCAGCCAUUUGAAGAGAAAAAAACCAAGAAGUACUAGGUUGUCUCCCUUAGUGGAGUGGUUCAGGAAAUUUAGGAAAAAAAUAUGCAAGCGUGAUUUUAUCAAAUUGAACACACCACUACAGAUUUGCCUUUGGAGCACUCCAUUUAUUCCUACUCAGACCUUGACAAACUGAUCCAUCUGUCUUGAAAUGGAACAUUGGGAGAUAAAUGGACCAUCAUCAUUGUCAGUGGUUAAAAAAGUAAGACUAAAGAUUUAACUUGUAUAUUUCAGUUUCAAACAUGCACACAUAGAGUGAAGGAAAUGUGAACCGGAUGAACACAAGCUUCCUAAACAUUUGCAAAAUCGCGAUACUUCAACUUCUUAUUUAUCUGAUGUGUAUUAUAUUAUUUAAAGCUAAACUUUAAAAAAUUUUAGACUUGCUAUUUGAUCUACGGGUGUGACAAGUAUUUGUGUCUAAAUCUGGUGAAAACUUGGGAUCAUGCAGACAAAACAUUCAUCAAUCCUUGUUUCAUAUUUUUAGGUCACUAUCAAUAAACUCUACCCACCUCUCAUGCUCAUUUCAGUUCUCA